CCCGGCUGAGGUCACAGGCGGCGCGACCACAUUUAUUGGCAACAAUUGUUUUCUAAUUGGCGGCAGGUCAGAGAAUGAGUUAGACUUUUGACCUGAUGCUUGGAGGUCGGAGCGCAACUUCUUCAGGAGGACAGACUUUCCACUGCUAAGUGCGGCCCCGGCGGGAGGGUGCCGGGGUCCAGGUCUAAGGAGCGGCGCCGGGCGGCGGGGCUGGAUUGGGUGGUGCAAAUUCAGCGAACGCGCUUAAGACGCACUCCUUUCCGGUCACCUACUCUCUCUUCAUGGUGGGAACUGUUUGUGUCCAGAAUUAAGCUAUAUUUAAUAAAGGGCCAGGAUGAGGUGGUCGUGCAGCAUUUUGUUCUGGAGAACCCAGGAUCAACUGUAUGUCACAACAUAUUCCGUAGGCGUUCCCGUUCCCGUCCAUGGGCUGGGAAGAGACAGUAAACUUUACCGUGAUGUUUGGGGACUGGUACGAAAGACUUGAAGAAGCUGGCCACCUGGAAACAACAAUAGAUGCAGACAAAACCAGCCCCAACAAAAGACUUCUCUAACCAAAGGACCAGGAAAACGUUCUGUCUGACCUAGUAAGACAGAAAACUUUUAGACAGUUCUACUCCAGCCAAAUACUGUAGAAAAAGCUAUGGCUUUAUCUCCAUUAGCAAAGGCCAAGUGGGAAUCCUAGACUUCUACCCUCCAAAGGCUGUAACAAGGUGCUCCAACAUUCUACUGAUACCAAGGCCAGGUAAGGAUCUGAAACUUUCAUCUCUGGUGGCCACUGAGGUCACUCCCAGCCCAGUGGUAUCAGUGGAGGCCACAAGGGGAGCCUGGACUUCCAUGCCUGCCAGCAGUAAUGAAGCACUCUUCUCCCUCCCUGCUUGGUGUGGUAGCAGAGGAGGCAUAGUGGAGAGCCAGGACUUUCAUUAUUGCCCAGCAUAUAUGACGCUACCCUCACCAUGGGGAACUGGAACUCUCAUCCCUGCCCCGCAGUAAUGAGGAGCUCCUCACCCACCAGAUGUCGAAGGAGGCCAAGUGGAGAACUUGGACUUCUAUCAGAUAGCAAUGAGGUGGCACCACUCCCCUACAUCAUUCCUUGCUGGAGUGUUGUCAGAAAAAGCCGGUUAAAACAGAAGGUGCAAGUCAAAAUCAAUUAAUGUAAUCCAUCAUAUUAACAGGCUAAAUAAUAAAAAUCACAUGAUCAUAUAGAUGCAUAAAAGGCAUUUCACAAAAUACACUCAUACAUAGUUAAAAAAAAAAAAGCUAACUCUCGGAAAACCAGAAGUAGAGGGAACCUUCCUCAGUUUGAUAAAGUGUAUCCACAAAAUUCCUACAGAACACUUUUGCCUUAGGAACAAGGUAAGGAAGUCUGCUCUUAUCACCCUUAUUCAACACAGCGCUGAAACUUCUAGUCAGUGCAAUAAGGCAUGAUAAAGAAACAAAAGGCAUGUGAUCAAAAGGAAGAAAUCCAACUGUCCUUAUUUGCAGAUGAGAUGGUUGUUCAUAUAGACUCUGAAGGAAUUUACAAAAAAACUAGAACCAACAAGUGAGUUUAGCAAGUUUUCAGGAUGUAAGAUCAACAUACAAAAAUCUAUUUCUAUGUGCUAGCAAUAAACAUGUGAACACCAAAAAUUAAAAAUUCUAUUUACAAA